rfam:Echinostoma caproni strain Egypt genome assembly, scaffold: ECPE_scaffold0001777
GCACUGCUGAGGAGAUCGAACCAGGUCGAAACAGCUGUCCAGUGC